GUGCAGCCAAUUAAGCCAACUGUGCCUCUGCCCUGUGGGACCCAGUGUGCAACUGUUGCAGAUAGCAAGCAGCCUCCUUGGUAGUGUACGCAGCUGUGACUUGUAUGGGCUGUAAUAAGGGACCUUGGAGACAGUC